GGGGACGAUCUGGGUUCGACGGAGAAGAACGGAGAUAAGGACUGCAUACCGGGGGGUCUGGUAGCCCCGUAAAACUAUCAGAGCUAAAUAUAAGUGCAGACUACAACUACGCACUGGCUGCUUAAUUUGUAAGCAGCCCGCAUUGGGAACCGAGGCUCGCAUAGGUUCCUGGAUGCGUCGGUAAUGCGAGUGCCUGUGAUAAGUUGUCCAGGCUUAUCACAGAAAGAGUCACUGGACUGGCCCCGAAAGAGCUUUGUUUGUUGAGCUCUGAGGGGCGAGAAUAAUCAACAAACUAAGUAUGUAGAUGUCCUUAUCGCUGCUUCUCCGGACGUGGGUUCGAUUCCCACCGUCUCCACUA
rnacentral:tmRNA from 1 species